GCGGAAGUGGCGGAACUGGCAGACGCGCAGGAUUUAGGUUCCUGUGCCUUCACGGCGUGGGGGUUCGAGUCCCCCCUUCCGCACCA
rnacentral:tRNA from 2 species